rnacentral:lncRNA from 1 species
UCUGGAGAUUACUCCAUUAGGAGCCCCAAAAGAGAGAUAAUGAGCCUCGAGGUACCGAAUCCACUUAGAACAAAUUUGUGUGUGUUUUAAGAGUUUUAUGUUUUUAUUGAUUUCCAUUGAUUUCUUUUACAUAUUUCGCCCCUUUUACAUACUUUAUACAUAUUUCUCCCCCUUUUUGUCAUCAUAUCAAAAAGGAGGCAAUCACACACAAUCAAUGGCACAACCAAUCAUCAAAUGGCACAUAAUUGAAGAUAAAAUGUCUACUCAUUGUAUUGAUAUGAAUGUGAAUACAUAUGAGAAUACAAUAAGUAAAGUAAAACAAGACAAAACAUAAAAACAUCUAUGGCCUCCUCGAGGAUGAGGCACCUCCUCUCGAGGAUGUGGGUCCUCCUCUCAUGGAUGUGGCUCCUCCUCUCAAUCGGCUCUGCUCCAUGAGGAGGGUGACUGCAUCUGUAACAUGGCCAAGCUGCGUGAUAAUAGACGUAGUGGCUCUGCUAUGUGUAGUGGAGAGCUCAGUCACCGACGUCUGAAGCC